CAGCAGCCGCGGUAAUACGGAGGGUGCAAGCGUUAAUCGGAAUUACUGGGCGUAAAGCGCACGCAGGCGGUUUGUUAAGUCAGAUGUGAAAUCCCCGAGCUUAACUUGGGAACUGCAUUUGAAACUGGCAAGCUAGAGUCUUGUAGAGGGGGGUAGAAUUCCAGGUGUAGCGGUGAAAUGCGUAGAGAUCUGGAGGAAUACCGGUGGCGGAGGCGGCCCCCUGGACAAAGACUGACGCUCAGGUGCGAAAGCGUGGGGAGCAAACAGGAUUAGAUACCCGUGUAGUCCCUGUCUCUUAUAC
rnacentral:rRNA from 1 species